GCGGACGGAUCGGCGGAUCGCUGCGCGUAAUAAUUUCCAAAUUUUCAUAGUGUACGAUCAUAGUGUACACGCUCGUGUAACGUGUAAUAUUUGCGCGUGCGUGUGUGUGCAUGUAUGCGUGGUGCGUGACGAUCCGGAGCAUUCUGAGCAAUAGCAGUGUUUCAUGAUCUUGAAAGAUCUGCUGGAGUUUGCGGCCACGCAAUAGCUACCGGUUACCUGGACGCAGUUUCGACGGACGCCGAUGCCGCACCGGAGGAUCCGGUUCGGGCCGAGCAGAGUCGGCUUGAAGAUCCGCAGCAGAACGCGGCUGAC